UAUGGUUUAAGCAUUUUUUAUAAUUGUUCUGGCAUUUCUACCAAUCUGUUAAUUUUGUGAAUUUCUUACCUUGUAGUACUGAUGGGUGAAUUACAGGGACAAAAUCAUAGAGCAUAUGAUUCAACUCUGCAAUUGCAGAUCUGCUAUUAAUUCAUUCUGUCUUGUCAAAAAGCUCACUAACACUAGGAAUGCUUAACGUUGUUCCAUAUCAAAAACCAUUUAACAUAGUUUGACAUGGAUUUCUUAGAUAUGCAAAUAGAGGCUUUGGAUUUUAUUGAUUGGAAUGAAUAUUUCUGGUACAAAAUAGAAUCUUGCUUCCUGGUACAAGCCAACCACCACUGAAUCUGAUCUUAUUUUGCACAAUUAUCUAGACAAAAUGCGCUAUUUAGCUAGAGUAAUCAUUGUUUUCCAAGAUACAAUUUUUGUAAGGUAUAUCAUGCAAGCUUAGUGGUAUGGUGCUUGCAAUUUUCUUAAUUUUCUCAUGGAAUUUAGUUUUGACUUAGCCUGUUUAUUCCUCUAUGAUCCUCACAUCUUAUCCUUCAUGUUGUUUUUGAGGCUAACUUGAUUAUCAUUUUAUAUAUGGUAUGUUUAUGUUUUUACUUUGGUGCAACAUGCAUUGCGGUCUUCAAAUGAAUUACCCAUUUACUUGUAUGAAUUUGGUCUAAUUCAUUCUACCACCUUCUUAGAAGUAUUAUCUUCUCUAGGUGAUUGCAGAACAGGUCUUCAAUAGAAAAUUUAUGAGCUAUAUGUGAUUUUAUUGCCACAACAUAAUUUAGAUGGAUUUUAUUCAAAACUUAGCAUUACUGAGGAGGGAUUCCUUUCCAACUUUCUUGAUGUAAAUGGAACUAUUUGUUUAUACUCCAAGUGCAUCAAAUUAUUAAACUAAUCAACUCUACUUUCUGAGGGCCUGAAAAAAGACUUACUUCAGUAUAAAGGAAUUAGAAACUAGAGCUAUACAUUGUUUUAGUCUAAUGAAGGUAAAAUCUAGCAUAAUGUGGAACAUGAUUUUGUUGCAAUCUUAGAAUGCUAUGUGUUUAUUGCAAUUUCCUUGGUAGAGUUGUAUCAUUGAAUUCCAAAGGAUAUUGGAGCAUAACCUUGCAAUAUGUCAAUGAUUUAAAUAAACUAAUUAUCUUCCAAGUUGUGUAACAAUUUUUUACUUCAGCUACUUGAUAAUGAUGGAAAGUGUUAUUCUAAUUAUUAGUUCGACUCAAUUAUGUGCAACUCCAAGAUCAAUCAAUUUUUCUGCUGGACCCUCUUGGGGACAGUCACUCACCUUACUUUUAUCCUCAGUAUUUGGAGUUCCAAUUGAGGUAACUAUACAACAGCAACACUCCAGCCAGCCUAUUCCUCAUAUUUUGGUCAAAUGUGCAGAUUAUCUCAUAUUAUUAGGAUUAAACUCACCACACGUAUUUAAAUCAGAAGGAGACAGAAAAGUUAUUCAGCAUUUGGUUUCAUUAUACAAUAAAGGUAUCCCAAGCUCAUAUUUGAUGCUGGUAAUUUGGUUGACUUACAGGCUGGUUUGUUGACCUUAUUUGCAAUUGCAGAUUCAAACACAUCAUUUGUGUAAACCCAGUUGAUGCUGCAGCCUUAGCCAAAUGUUAUCUUGCAAGCCUUCCUGAGCCUUUGACCACCUUUGAACUCUAUAAUGAGAUCGGAGGGGCUCGUUCCAGCAUACAUGUGAUGAGAAAUAUACUGAAGAAACUUCUUAGUGUGAACUACAUGACAUUAGAAUUUGUUACUGCACUUUUGCUCCAUAUUAGCCAGAAGUCACUUCUUAACAAGGCAACCAACACUUCCCUUUCUUUCUCUCUUGUUUAUUUGCUCAUGAAAACAACUGCACACUUGAGGGAGACCAAUUAUUCCCUUCCUUAUUGGCCAUUGAACCAAUAAAAAUUGUGUAUUAUGUGGAUGUGAGGAUCACCAUGCUUUGCUUGUGUAUCUGCACCAGACAUACUCAUUACAAACAUAUACUACUGAUUCAAGAGAAUAGAGAUGAAAAUGAUCAGCUUGUGCUGAUCCCUGCCCCUCACCCCUCCACAGUCCAAUUUCUACAAUUUGCAGUACGAUUGCAUCUUGCACUCAAUAAAAAACCUUGGGGAGGAAUGCUUACUUAAUGUGUACUUAGGGUUCCCAAUUUUGCCAUUAUCUUGUAUGGCGUCUAUUAUGUACUCCACCUAACUAAACAAUAGCUAAUAAGUUGCAGUCAAUUGCUAUUUGUAUUCCCUUUUCUUUUAUAUAGCUUGACCUUUUUGUCA